rnacentral:misc_RNA from 1 species
AAUGAAUUUUCCUACAGAAUCACGGUAGCCGGGAAAUUUGGAGUGACCAAUGAGCGACUGAAAAUGCAAGUUAAAGUGAUGUCGGCUAUAUUAUAAACCGUAGAUGGUAAGGUCCGAACCUGAGGUGUGGCAAUCGAACCUGGUGGUUCGAUAAAAUUUGGGUAAAAAGUUAACGCCGUUAGAUUUGACAAGAUCGAGGAGU